rnacentral:rRNA from 1 species
UACGGGGUGCAGCAGUCGCGAAAACUUUGCAAUAAGCGAAAGCUUGACAGGGCUAUCCCGAGUGCCAUCCGCUGAGGAAGGCUUUUACCCAGUCUAGAACG